rnacentral:rRNA from 1 species
UACAGCGGGUGCAAGCGUUAAUCGGAAUUACUGGGCGUAAAGCGUGCGUAGACGGUUGCGUAAGUCAGAUGUGAAAGCCCCGGGCUCAACCUGGGAAUUGCAUUUGAGACUGCGUAGCUAGGGUGCGGAAGAGGGAAGCGGAAUUUCCGGUGUAGCGGUGAAAUGCGUAGAUAUCGGAAGGAACACCAGUGGCGAAAGCGAAUCUCUGGGCAGCAACUGACGCUGAGGCACGAAGGCCAGGGGAGCAAACGGG